GCCCCAGUGGCUCAGCUGGUCAGAGCGACGGCCUUGUAAGCCGUAAGUCGCGGGUUCGAAUCCCGCCUGGGGCUCCA
rnacentral:tRNA from 1 species